UGUACCAUACUAAUAUAUAUUCGGUACCCAGUUUUGUUCAGAUUCAAUACUAUCGAUCCCAUCCCUUAUUUCAUAGAUCAAUUCAGCAAACAAACUCACAAUAAAUAAAAUGCAGGAUCUAAUCAUGUGUAAGUAAGUACCAAUGAUAAUCAUGUAAACAACGAGCAAUCCAACGUUAUUAACAACAAUUCCGAUCUGCAACAGCGACCGUCCGGCACCACCGAACGCAUCUCCAACAAGUCCGGCGUACGAACUGGACUUAGAAGCCCUACUAAACCUAAUUAUCAUAUCAACGGAAGUUUCAGUCAAGAUUCCGACCAGUAGAAUAACAAUUAGGCCUGGAAUCAUGCCUAACUGCUUCAGAGUCGCCGGAAGAGCCAUGAUUCCGGCACCGACAAUGGUGGUUGAGAGGUUGAAGACAGCGCCGGAGAACGAGGAGCCGGUGAAUGUGGAUUCCGGUGGAAAGGUGGAGUUGGUGGUGGUGGUGGUGUGACGGUGGUGGGGGAGGAGUGGAGUUGAGUUGAGGAUCCGCCGGCGGUUGUGGUCGCCGGUCGGCAUUUGGUGGAAGUUUGUGGUGGAGAGAGGGUGGAAAUGAUGAGAUGGAAGUGAUGUGAGUGAUCGGAAAGUGACGUAAGCAGAUGGGUGUGAAUGUUUGUUAAGUGGUGUUUGAUUUGUUGUUAUCUAUAGGGUGAGACCACUUGCUAGUUCUCUAAUCAACGUUUAAUUUUGAUAGACUUUGGUUAUCUUUUAUCAGAAAAAGAAAAAGGAUGAAAUACAAAUAACUAUAAGUUAUUGUAGGGAUGAGCACGGUACCCGUUCGGUACCGAACUGGUACCGGUACCGAAAGUACCGGUACUAAAAAAGGGGAAAAGUGAGUACUGGUACCGAAGUUUGGUACCAGUACCGGUACCGAAAAACGAAGAAAGUAGGUACCGGUACCGAAUAUACCCGGUACGGUUCGGUACCGGUACCCGGUACCAAAUGCUCAUCCCUAAGUUAUAGUCUAUAACGUAUAAAACGUGUAGUGCGUGAUAUGUUGAGAACAAGAGGUGGCAAUUUGUAAUUUUCUCUAACUGAAAUUUCUUCAUGUCAAUCUUACGUUCUUUCUUCGCAAUCGAUGACCCUGAUUCCUCCAUAUUUUAAUCAGAUUUCGUAGUUUGAUUUUAUGGUAAGGGUUUAGUAGUUUGAUUUCAUGUACCCUAGUGUCUACGCCCCGCUUGCGGUUGCGGUAUGCACAUAUAAUGUAUAUAUGUGUGGGCCAUCGGGGGGCAAAAGUGAAAGUGCACUAAUUUUAAUGUUAUUUUACUAAUUUCGUGAAAAUAACGUUAAAAGCUGAGGACGGUUAAUCACGCAUCAUGUGGUGGCGUUGAUAGCUGAAAGACAAAAUGGUACAUGAACUAAUCGGUGUUUGUCCUGAUUGCUGAGUGUUAUGUGCCUUAUGUCCAAGGCUUGAUGCAAAACUACUAUCGAGCCGGGGGUCUCACUGGAAGCAGGCUCUCUAUACCUACGGGGUAGAGGUAAGACUGUCUACAUCUUACCCUCCUCCUCAGACCCUACCUUUGCUUUGCUAUUUGUGGGAUUUACUGAGUAUGAUGAUGAUGAUGAUGAUGGUUUAGUAGGCGAUUCAAUUUUAUCCCAAAAUCGAUUGAUUGCAUCGUUGUUUUAUCAUCAAUGGCUGAACAGAUGAACUCUAGUUUGCAAGUACGAAUUGGUAUAUAAUUAGAUUAGUUUUUUAC
rnacentral:lncRNA from 1 species